rnacentral:rRNA from 1 species
GACGAACGCUGGCGGCGUGCCUAAUACAUGCAAGUAGAACGCUGAAGGAGGAGCUUGCUUCUCUGGAUGAGUUGCGAACGGGUGAGUAACGCGUAGGUAACCUGCCUGGUAGCGGGGGAUAACUAUUGGAAACGAUAGCUAAUACCGCAUAAUAGCAGUUGUUGCAUGACAACUGUUUGAAAGGUGCAAUUGCACCACUACCAGAUGGACCUGCGUUGUAUUAGCUAGUUGGUGGGGUAACGGCUCACCAAGGCGACGAUACAUAGCCGACCUAAGCGGGGGCUCGGCGACACUGGGACUGAGACACGGCCCAGACUCCCACGGGAGGCAGCAGUAGGGAAUCUUCGGCAAUGGACGGAAGUCUGACCGAGCAACGCCGCGUGAGUGAAGAAUGUUUUCGGAUCGUAAAGCUCUGUUGUAAGAGAAGAACGAGUGUGAGAGUGGAAAGUUCACACUGUGACGGUAUCUGACCAGAAAGGUACGGCUAACUACGUG